AUGACGAGGCUUACGCGCGAGUGCUUCAGUACGCCAAGGAGCGCGAGGGCGGGCAGUGAGCAUGUCGAGGAUCAAAUAAAUGACGUGCAGGAUUCAUGGCAAGAGGUUGAUCCAGAUGAGUACUCAUAUGAGGAAUUAGUUGCAUUGGGCGGAGUGGUUGGUACAGAAAGAAGAGGUCUCUCUGCUGAUACACUUGCUUCCUUACCUUCAGUAACUUACAACACAAAAGACAUGCAAGACGGCAACACAGAACAAUGUGUAAUUUGUCGCGUGGGAUUUGAGGAAGGUGAAUCCUUGGUUGCACUUCCCUGCAAGCACUCAUACCACCCUGACUGCAUUAACCAGUCACAUAAAUAA
rnacentral:rRNA from 1 species